rnacentral:rRNA from 1 species
AGAUGAGCCCGCGUUGGAUUAGCUAGUUGGUAGGGUAAAGGCUUACCAAGGCGACGAUCCAUAGCUGGUCUGAGAGGAUGAUCAGCCACACUGGGACUGAGACACGGCCCAGACUCCUACGGGAGGCAGCAGUGGGGAAUAUUGGACAAUGGGGGAAACCCUGAUCCAGCAAUGCCGCGUGAGUGAAGAAGGCCUUAGGGUUGUAAAGCUCUCUUGUCAGGACGAACACGUGCCGAUCGAUAAUGACAGUACCUUGACGGUACCUGAGUAAGCUCCGGCUAACUCCGUGCCAGCAGCCGCGGUAAUACGGAGGGAGCUAGCGUUGUUCGGAAUUACUGGGCGUAAAGCGUACGUAGGCGGUUUAAUAAGUCAGGGGUGAAAGCCCAGAGCUCAACUCUGGAACUGCCUUUGAGACUGUGUAGACUAGAACAUAGAAGAGGUAAGUGGAAUUCCGAGUGUAGAGGUGAAAUUCGUAGAUAUUCGGAAGAACACCAGUGGCGAAGGCGACUUACUGGUCUAUAGUUGACGCUGAGGUACGAAAGCGUGGGUAGCAAACAGGAUUAGAUACCCUGGUAGUCCACGCCGUAAACGAUGAU